GGGGAAUAUUGCACAAUGGGCGCAAGCCUGAUGCAGCCAUGCCGCGUGUAUGAAGAAGGCCUUCGGGUUGUAAAGUACUUUCAGUCGGGAGGAAGGUGGUAAGGUUAAUAACCUUAUCAAUUGACGUUACCGACAGAAGAAGCACCGGCUAACUCCGUGCCAGCAGCCGCGGUAAUACGGAGGGUGCAAGCGUUAAUCGGAAUUACUGGGCGUAAAGCGCACGCAGGCGGUUGAUUGAGUCAGAUGUGAAAUCCCCGGGCUUAACCCGGGAAUUGCAUCUGAUACUGGUCAGCUAGAGUCUUGUAGAGGGGGGUAGAAUUCCAUGUGUAGCGGUGAAAUGCGUAGAGAUGUGGAGGAAUACCGGUGGCGAAGGCGGCCCCCUGGACAAAGACUGACGCUCAGGUGCGAAAGCGUGGGGAGCAAAC
rnacentral:rRNA from 1 species